GAUCUUUUUUAGCUAAAACAAGUUAGCUAAUAGGAGUAAAAAGCCCCGCGUGACUUUGCGCUCGUGACUCGCGGAGAAAUGACCGUUAGCAUAAGCUAAGCUACAUUGUUCUGUUGUGGGUAAAUUUAAAUAUUACCGUCAAAAGUUACGGUUCCAGAUCCUCUUCAAACCGGGUUACACGACGAGGAGGGAAACGACAACAGCAGCUUAAUUAAUUUAAAAUAUAGAUAUUUUUAUUUUUUAUGUACAGAUAACGACUUGCAAAGGAAUUCAAAAUAAAGGUUUUUAAAAAAACUUUAAUGAUUCUCCGACCCAGAACAGAAGAAUAGGAGCUCCAAAGCAAUAAAGAACUCUCAGAAGUAAGAAAUCAUUUUACUUUGUCCCAGAAAUUUAAGUGUUUAUAUUAAAGUGGCGUAUUAAUGAAAACAAAUAGAAGAAAUAUCAAACAAAACAACAACAAAUAAAGAGAAUGAUCGAACACUAACUUUUUCUGAAUCUGUAUUAACAUUUGCCAUGUGCAUCAUUGAGUAAAUAAAAAAACUAAACAUUUUCUGGUGAUGCGAUGAUUCAGAUCAGGAUUUUAAUUCUACUUGAACAAACAUUCUUUUCAACAGUUUGCUUUAAAAAAAAA